CCCCCACCAGGGCAAACCCUGCUCUACCAUAGAAAUGAUGCAUUGACCUGUUGUACUUAUUUCUCUAAUGUGGAAGAGUCUAUUCUGAAGCUUGUCUGUCCAUUCUGUCCCAGGGCCAUUGUAGCGCUGGUGUACAAUGUUCUAAAGGCCUUCAUGGAAAUGAACAGUACCUUAUUCGAUGAGCUCACCGCCACCUACAAGUCAGACCGUCAGCGUGAGAAGAAGAAGGAGAAGGAGCGUGAGGAGCUGUGGAAGAAGCUGGAGGACCUGGAGCUGAAGCGGGGCCUUAGGAGUGACGGGAUCAUCCCCACUUAACAGAGACAGAGCCCUGCUCCCCGUUCGUCCCACUCCCUUCCACUUCAGCCAUGUCUGCCCAGAGCUCGUGAUACAGGCUGUGGUCUCUGGACUUCCACAGCACCGCUGGUUUCUUAAUCCUUUUAUUAUGAUUUUGUUCUGUUUUGUUUCCUCUUGUGUUUGUGCGACUUAGUUUACUGUAGAUUCAUCACGUCUGUUUUCAUUAUUUCAGCAGCACUGUAAAUAAUUAUUUUCCCCUAAUGUUAUUGCAAAGAGAUAAAAAAAGAACAACAAUAAUAAAAAGGAAAAAACAGAAAUGGAGAAAAUGACUUGUGUGUGAGAGGGGAAUCUAAACAAAAACAAAAACAAAAAAACCAGAUGGCAUCAAAAAGCCAUUAGGUUCCUGGGUUUUUCUUCACCCCACUCCUCUUUUUCAGUGCAUCGCACAUUUAACUUUCAUUUUCGCUCCUCUUGUUGGUGUCCUCUCCUGUCUGCGCUGUUUGGAUUGACUAGAUUCAGCGUUGCCCUCCAAAAGCAGUCCAAAACUGUGGUCUCUCGCCUGUUGGCAGUUUGUCCAUCCUGCAGGAACAGACCCACUCUGUAGACGGGGCCUUUCCAAAGCCCUCCGAGUGUGUUUACAUGCAUGGUCAGGAAUGUCACAGGAAAAGCUAGAAGAUGUCUGGGUUAUGUUUAGUUCAACAUGUAGGCUUUCCUUUUAUUUUAGAGGAAGAUUAGCUGAAUUUGAAGAUCCUGAUGUGAAGAUGUUUAUUCAAAUGGCUCCAGCACAGAAUAAUAAUGCAGCAGGUUUGUUAAUGCAGUCAGUUUGGAAUCCUCUUCAUUUCUGCAUGAAUACACGAGUCUGCAAGCUGUUGUUGGUCGAUACAUUUAUGUACUGAAAACUGUAGGAUUUUUGGCUUUAGUGCAUUUAAUGAACGGGGAGACUAAUUUUUAGUAUUUUGAUCACCAGUCAUGGGAAAAUUCUUGCUGACUGGUGCAACUGAUAAACAGCCUCUGAUUUUACUGAUAAUUGGUGAACAGCAGCAGUCAAAAACAGAAGGAUAAUUUCCUGUCGAUGCCUGAUUCUUUUCCUGUUGAAGUUGGUGCUCUAGCGAUCUUCAGUUAGAUUCAGGGUUAAUUGUUUUUCCUUUGCUUUAGUGCCAUCUAGUGGUGGGAACAGCAGAAAUGGCAAAAAAAAAAAAAA